AUGGCACUGCAGAGAUCCUGUUCGUCAGCUUUAGCAGUUGGGAAGGGAUGGGAGGACAGCUUGUCGCAGAGCUUGGUGUCCUGCAGGAUGCCCGGCCUGCAUCUGCUGGGAUGCUCUCGCCUCAGCUUGAUGAGUACAGAAGAAACAAUGGGCCCACGGUGCUGGCCCCACGCAGCAUCAGGCUCCUUGGUGGCUGUUGCAGCCAAAUCCAUCCUAAACUGCAGCAACACUCAGGAUCUCUCGAGUGACUCCGCAGCCUUAAUGCCAGCUUGGAAACCUCCCUGCAGCCCAAGGGUUGGGAUGCAUGCCAGGCUGGGGUGUGCUGCAGGCACGCAGAACCCGUAUCCAGGCUGUCAGUGGCUUUGCCUUGUUCACUGAGGGGUCCUGCUGGAAGCGUAUUCUGCUGAGGUGCCCGUGCUGUUUUGCACCCCGAGCCCACGCUCUUUUCCCUGAUUGUCAACAAUGUGCAUCCUGGUGCUGAAAGAGCAAGAAAUGGGGUUUCCAGCUGGCGCUCCUCUGAGUGGUAUUUGCAUGGCAGAACGGCGUUGUGCAGUGAGAUGCUGCUGAAUGG
rnacentral:lncRNA from 1 species